rnacentral:tRNA from 1 species
CAAAAUGUAGCUUAAACAAAGCAUCUCGCUUACACCGAGAAAAUACCUGUUUAAAUCAGAUUAUUUUGA